GAUAAACGCUGGCGGCGUGCAUAACACAUUCAAGUCGAACGGAGGUUUAUUGAAAGCUUGCUUUUGAUAAACUUUAGUGGCGGACGGGUGAGUAACGCGUGAGCAACCUGCCUUUCUGAGGGGAAUAACACAGGGAAACUUGUGCUAAUACCGCAUAACGUAUAGAUGAGGCAUCUCGACUAUACCAAAGGAGCAAUCCGCAGAAAGAUGGGCUCGCGUCCGAUUAGGCAGUUGGUGAGGUAACGGCCCACCAAACCUACGAUCGGUAGCCGGACUGAGAGGUUGAACGGCCACAUUGGAACUGAGAAACGGUCCAGACUCCUACGGGAGGCAGCAGUGGGGAAUAUUGGGCAAUGGACGAAAGUCUGACCCAGCGACGCCGCGUGAGGGAAGAAGGUCUUCGGAUUGUAAACCUUUGUCAACAGGGAAGAAGAAAGUGACGGUACCUGUGGAGGAAGCCACGGCUAACUACGUG
rnacentral:rRNA from 1 species